AGUGCCUACGGGAGGCAGCAGUAGGGAAUCUUCCGCAAUGGACGAAAGUCUGACGGAGCAACGCCGCGUGAGCGAAGAAGGCCUUCGGGUCGUAAAGCUCUGUUGUUAGGGAAGAACAAGUAACGCAGUAACUGGCGUUACCGUGACGGUACCUAACGAGAAAGCCACGGCUAACUACGUGCCAGCAGCCGCGGUAAUACGUAGGUGGCAAGCGUUGUCCGGAAUUAUUGGGCGUAAAGCGCGCGCAGGCGGUUCCUUAAGUCUGAUGUGAAAGCCCACGGCUCAACCGUGGAGGGGCAUUGGGA
rnacentral:rRNA from 1 species